CACGUAGGGUGCGAGCGUUGUCCGGAUUUACUGGGCGUAAAGAGCGCGCAGGCGGUCGUUCAAGUCGGGUGUGAAAGCCCGGGCUCAACCUGGGAAUUGCAUUCGAGACUGCAUGGCUAGGAUGCGGAAGAGGGAAGCGGAAUUUCCGGUGUAGCGGUGAAAUGACGUAGAUAUCGGAAGGAACACCAGUGGCGAAAGCGGCUUCCUGGUCCAGCAUCGACGUUCAGGCACGAAAGCGUGGGGAGCAAACAGG
rnacentral:rRNA from 1 species